GAUGAACGCUGGCGGCGUGCCUAAUACAUGCAAGUCGAGCGAACGGACGAGAAGCUUGCUUCUCUGAUGUUAGCGGCGGACGGGUGAGUAACACGUGGGUAACCUACCUAUAAGACUGGGAUAACUUCGGGAAACCGGAGCUAAUACCGGAUAAUAUUUUGAACCGCAUGGUUCAAAAGUGAAAGACGGUCUUGCUGUCACUUAUAGAUGGAUCCGCGCUGCAUUAGCUAGUUGGUAAGGUGACGGCUUACCAAGGCAACGAUGCAUAGCCGACCUGAGAGGGUGAUCGGCCACACUGGAACUGAGACACGAUCCAGACUCCUACGGGAGGCAGCAGUAGGGAAUCUUCCGCAAUGGGCGAAAGCCUGACGGAGCAACGCCGCGUGAGUGAUGAAGGUCUUCGGAUCGUAAAACUCUGUUAUUAGGGAAGAACAUAUGUGUAAGUAACUGUGCACAUCUUGACGGUACCUAAUCAGAAAGCCACGGCUAACUACGUGCCAGCAGCCGCGGUAAUACGUAGGUGGCAAGCGUUAUCCGGAAUUAUUGGGCGUAAAGCGCGCGUAGGCGGUUUUUUAAGUCUGAUGUGAAAGCCCACGGCUCAACCGUGGAGGGUCAUUGGAAACUGGAAAACUUGAGUGCAGAAGAGGAAAGUGGAAUUCCAUGUGUAGCGGUGAAAUGCGCAGAGAUAUGGAGGAACACCAGUGGCGAAGGCGACUUUCUGGUCUGUAACUGACGCUGAUGUGCGAAAGCGUGGGGAUCAAACAGGAUUAGAUACCCUGGUAGUCCACGCCGUAAACGAUGAGUGCUAAGUGUUAGGGGGUUUCCGCCCCUCAGUGCUGCAGCUAACGCAUUAAGCACUCCGCCUGGGGAGUACGACCGCAAGGUUGAAACUCAAAGGAAUUGACGGGGACCCGCACAAGCGGUGGAGCAUGUGGUUUAAUUCGAAGCAACGCGAAGAACCUUACCAAAUCUUGACAUCCUUUGACAACUCUAGAGAUAGAGCCUUCCCCUUCGGGGGACAAAGUGACAGGUGGUGCGUGGUUGUCGUCAGCUCGUGUCGUGAGAUGUUGGGUUAAGUCCCGCAACGAGCGCAACCCUUAAGCUUAGUUGCCAUCAUUAAGUUGGGCACUCUAAGUUGACUGCCGGUGACAAACCGGAGGAAGGUGGGGAUGACGUCAAAUCAUCAUGCCCCUUAUGAUUUGGGCUACACACGUGCUACAAUGGACAAUACAAAGGGCAGCGAAACCGCGAGGUCAAGCAAAUCCCAUAAAGUUGUUCUCAGUUCGGAUUGUAGUCUGCAACUCGACUACAUGAAGCUGGAAUCGCUAGUAAUCGUAGAUCAGCAUGCUACGGUGAAUACGUUCCCGGGUCU
rnacentral:rRNA from 1 species